rnacentral:lncRNA from 1 species
AAAAUGCAUGUUUUUUCCUUUGGUUUUUGAGUUGCAAUUAUGAGUAUUUUUCUUAGUUCUCUUGACUAAAGUCUUGUGGUGUGAUGUGAAAAAUUUGUUGUGUAUUUUUAGUAUGAUAGGUAAGACUAAACUCUAAAUUGUACAUCAUUUGUGGUAGAUCAAUUAACCUCGUGAGAUUAUGAGCCUUAUAUGGAUAACAUACAAAAAUCCAUCUCUUUCUUUCUUGUGUGGUUCACUCAUGUCUG